CUCGUUGAUGUCUAGCAUGCGAGUCAUUGUAGCAUACAAGGCAUACGGCUCAGUAACGCGUAGUCAACCUAACCUAUGGACGGGAAUAACCUCGGGAAACUGAGAAUAAUGCCCGAUAGAACACUAUACCUGGAAUGGUUUGUGUUCCAAAUGAUUUAUCGCCAUAGGAUGGGACUGCGGCCUAUCAGUUUGUUGGUGAGGUAAUGGCCCACCAAGACUAUUACAGGUACGGGCUCUGAGAGGAGUAGCCCGGAGAUGGGUACUGAGACACGGACCCAGGCCCUAUGGGGCGCAGCAGGCGAGAAAACUUUGCAAUGUGCGAAAGCACGACAAGGUUAAUCCGAGUGAUUUGUGCUAAACGAAUCUUUUGUUAGUCCUAGAAACACUAACGAAUAAGGGGUGGGCAAGUUCUGGUGUCAGCCGCCGCGGUAAAACCAGCACCUCAAGUGGUCAGGAUGAUUAUUGGGCCUAAAGCAUCCGUAGCCGGCUCUGUAAGUUUUCGGUUAAAUCUGUACGCUUAACGUACAGGCUGCCGGGAAUACUGCAGAGCUAGGGAGUGGGAGAGGUAGACGGUACUCGGUAGGAAGUGGUAAAAUGCUUUGAUCUAUCGAUGACCACCUGUGGCGAAAGCGGUCUACCAGAACACGUCCGACGGUGAGGGAUGAAAGCUGGGGGAGCAAACCGGGAUUAGAUACCCGGUAGUCCCAGCUGUAACUAUGCAAACUCAGUGAUGCCAUGCCCUGUGACCAAAUGCAGUGCCUGCCAAGCA
rnacentral:rRNA from 1 species